AUUGAACGCUGGCGGCAGGCCUAACACAUGCAAGUCGAGCGGCGCGGCGGACGGGGAAGUAAGGCCUAGGAAUCUGCACGGUGGUGAGGGAUAAGGCACGGGAACGUGAGAUAUUGCCACAGAAUAUAAGAGGGACCUAGGUCGGAUUGGCUAGUUGGUGGGGUAAAGGCCUACCAAGGCGACGAUCCGUAACUGGUCGGAGAGGAUGAUCAGCCACACUGUAACUGAGACACGGUCCAGACUCCGACGGGAGGCAGCAGUGGGGAAUAUUGGACAAUGGGCGAAAGCCUGAUCCAGCCAUGCCGCGUGUGUGAAGAAGGUCUUCGGAUUGUAAAGCACUUUAAGUUGGGAGGCGUUACCUACAGAAUAAGCACCGGCUAACUCCGUGCCAGCAGCCGCGGUAAUAC
rnacentral:rRNA from 1 species